rnacentral:rRNA from 1 species
UACGUAGGUGGCUAGCGUUGUCCGGAUUUACUGGGCGUAAAGAGCGCGCAGGCGGUCGUUCAAGUCGAGUGUGAAAGCCCCCGGCUCAACUGGGGAGGGUCACUCGAUACUGAUCGACUCGAAGGCAGGAGAGGGAAGUGGAAUUCCCGGUGUAGUGGUGAAAUGCGUAGAUAUCAGGAGGAACACCGAUGGCGAAGGCAGUUCUCUGGGCCGUAACUGACGCUGAGGAGCGAAAGCGUGGGGAGCGAACAGG